AUCUCGAAGCGCUUGGGCGCUCAGUGGAAGCUGCUGGACGAUGAAGAGAAGAGACCCUUCGUGGAGGAGGCUAAGCGUCUUCGUGCCCGCCACCUCCAUGACUACCCCGACUACAAGUACCGACCCCGGCGAAAAAGCAAAAACCCGGGCACCGGGUCGGUCCAUUUCAGCCAGGGAGGAGGUGGCCCGGUAUGUGGAGGCCCACACUGGGGGCCGGGGUACACAACUACCCAAGGGAGUAGGGGCUUUGGGUACCAGCCCCCCAACUAUUCGACAGCCUACAUGCCUGGCAGUUACACCUCUUCCCAUUGCAGACCGGAGGCCCCCUCACCGUGUACUGUCCCUCAGAGUGAUCCUAGGCUCCAAGGGGAGCUAAUACCCUCCUUCCCCCACUACCCAUCUCCAGGCUCUCCCACUCCAUAUAUAUAAUACUUCCCUUGCUGGUGCCUCCAUGCCAGUAACCCACCUUUAACUGGCACGGACAAUCAGGGACAACCCCGAAGACCCAGCCCUUUCAGUUCAGAACCCUAGGAACCAGAAUGCGCAAUUUUGUAUAAUUAAAGCAUGUUUGAGUCUUUUAUUGUCCUAUCUGUAUUCUCUUCCUACAGUGGCAACCAGUGCCGCCUUCUCCACACACCCUUCCGCCAGGACCUGCCACAGCAGGACCCUCCUCGCCCAGCCUUGAGGCCUUAUCUGAGUCAUUCUCCCCCUCCCCCACCUCCAGAACUGGGGUCCAAUAGAUCGUCCCACUCGGGCAGCAGAGGGAAGCAGUCACUAGCUUCCAACCACAUUUCCCAACUCUGUCCUUGGUCCAAAAGGAAGGUGGACAGGGCAAAAUCACCUGCUCCCGUGAGAAAACAGCUGCUUAAAAGGAGGGAUCCCAGGCAACUGGUGAAGUGAGUGAGGGCAGGGCUUUACUAUUCCUACCGCCCAGGCUCAGGAGGUGGCAAAUACAUCGGGAUGGAGGGUGAUUAAGUUGCACCAGCAGAUCGGGUCAUGUGGGAGUUGAGUAGAUGGAUGGAGGUGGAAUUAUUCUAGAAGCUAGCUCUACUGCUGCUUUUUCUGCUUGUGGGGAGCCUUCGCAUUCCAGUAGAAGAGGACC
rnacentral:lncRNA from 1 species